rnacentral:rRNA from 1 species
GAUGAACGCUGGCGGCGUGCCUAAUACAUGCAAGUCGAGCGAACAGACGAGGAGCUUGCUCCUCUGCCGUUAGCGGCGGACGGGUGAGUAACACGUGGCUAACCUACCUAUAAGACUGGGAUAACUUCGGGAAACCGGAGCUAAUAUCGGAUCAUAUAUUGAACGGCAUGGUUCAAUAGUGCAAGACGGUUUUGAUGUGACUAAUACAUGGAAACGGGUUGGUUUAGUUAGUGGGUAAGGAAAAGGCGUACCAAGGCGACGCUGCGAAGCUGAGCGGUGAGGGUGAUCAGUGAAACUGGGACUGAGACAGGGUCCAGAAUCCUAGGGUAGGCAGCAGUGGGGAAUAUUGGACAAUGGGAGAAAGACUGAUACAGCCAUGCCGCGUGUGGGAAGAAGGUCUUCGGAUUGUAAAGCACUUUAAGUUGGGAGGAAGGGCAGUAAGUUAAUACCUGGCUGUUUUGACGUUACCAACAGAAUAAGCACCGGCUAACUUCGUG